UAUUGUGCUUGCAGCUUGAGAUGUACUUGGUCCAAAUGAAAAUCAUCAUUUUGAAGGGCAACUUCGCAUGGAAUUAGGAUCACUUAAUAAGGUUCUGGUUUCUUUUUCAAAUUCACUUGCUUUAUGCAUGAACCUAUUAUAGAUUUGUUGGUGUUGAUUUGCAGUAAGAGCAAAUGUAAUAUUGUUCUCAUCAAUUUCUUUCAUAGCAUGUGUAAUGCGUUAUAACAUCAGUUUCAUUGGAUUGGAAAAGGUGAUAAACAUGCAACCAUUCUUACUCGAUGAUAUGAAUACUUCAGGAGCAAUGGUGGCAUUUGUUUGCACAUUAGUAUUCCAUUAUGUAGUAAAGGAUAUGGUCUGGUAGUCAUUCUUUAUCGUUAUAGUUAUUGUCAAAUGGUGGAAUAUUGCUGCCUAGCAGCUCUGGUUCAUGUGUGUGUGAAAAACAAUGUAAAAUCUUUUUUGUUGCCGUAGAAUCUCAUGAGUCGUAUGAAAAAGAAGGCUAGGAUAUUUAUAUUUUUUAAUUGUUCAGCUGCUUGUGUUACAGAUCUGGGCAUACCUUUUGUUUGAGAUAAAUUUGGGCAUAAAUUGUCACGAAUAAAUGGGUGGCGUUGGGUCAAGGUUCAGGAACCCAGGGGCAUCAUGCUUCUUUUGAGCCACAUAGGGAGAAUUACAUCCAUGUAUUAGAAAAACUAGGUGCCCGCUUAAACAGAAAAAAUACAACUCUUGCUGACCGGGAGCUUCAUGGUAGUGUUUAGAAUUUAAUCAGAGAUCCAUGUACAGGUUGAUUGUUAUGAAACCAUGCGAUGGAAUCUUGAUGUUGACAAUGUCCAGAAAUCUGAUUCGUCAGAGACAAAAUCCAACCUUAAUUCCCCCAUUCAGAUCAUGAAAUAUUGGGGUUAACAGUUUGCGAUGUAAGAUGGGUUGAGAUCAGCUUUACGUUAACUUUCUUUUGUUCAAAUGUUUUCUUUUGUUUUGAAACCUUAAUGUUUUCUGUUGUGGGGUGACAAUGUCUGGGUUUAUGCUAACAAGCAAGAAAAAAGUUACAUGCAAUGAGUUCCCAAUCUUGAAAUAUUGAAGCAUAUCUUGGAACGACGGAGUUCUCAAUCUUCAUGGUAGAUGAUGGGACACUGGAUGCUGAAGUUGCUUAUUGUCUCGCGUAGAACAAUAGCAUGUCCUUAUUUUUUGCUAUGUUUUGCCCAUGUUGAUUACGAUGGCAUUGUUUUGAACAUUCUAUCUGUGUUGAUAA